GGCAAGUGCAUAUUUUCAUACUAAUGUUCAGUAAAUUGUUGAAUUUGAAGAUAAUGAAAAAAAUCUUAUGUGUGUGUGUGUGUAUAUACAAUCUAAAAAAAUUGUACAGAAUCAUGUUUUUUUUUUCUGUUAGUGUAUAAAAAUUAAAAUUAAGCAAUAGAUUUAUAGUGUUAGUAAUCAUCACAUCUUAACUUGGUCAAAGGAUGGAUCUCUCUGUCAGUCGACAGGAUCAUGUUGUCAUCUAAAUAUUUCCCUCAUGCCAUCCUUUCUUCCGUCUGGCUUUCAUCUCCAUGUUCUUGAGCGGCUCAGCUGUUCCUGUUGUUACUGGUGUAAAAAAUAGCCCUCGGGCUGAGAGUUAAUUCAGACCGCCGUCAGCUGCAGGUCCUGGUUGACAGCACAGGUCAGGAGCUUCUCCCUGCACAGACUUCAUGUCAGAAACCCAAACUCCUGUGAUGUCAUUCUAGUCACUGCUGAGGGCCGAACACUUAACAAACUCAUUUAGAUUGCCUUGAAUUACACAGGCUCAACAACAUGCAACAUUUGUUUGUUUUCCAAAUGUCUCUAAUUAUAAUUCACCUCUCAGAAUUCUCAAUCCAAAUGGACCCGUGUUUAAUGUUUUAUAGUCUUCUUUAAUUGAGUAGUUUUGUUCAUGGUUUUUUAGGAUGAAGGCAUUUUGACAUCGGUGUAAUUCGAUCAGCUUCUACUAAGUAACAAAUGAAUUUGAGGCAAAAUACUGUAGAGUUUGAUUGGACACAAAACUUUGACAUCAACAGCAAAAGAUAUGAGUCGUUGAAGUCCAAAAGCACCAUUGACGUACUCUGCUCGGGGUCAGACAGACUCGUCGUCUCAAUCUCACUCUAUUAACGCUUCAAGAUCGUGAUGACUAUUGACUUACAGGUCUUUAUGAGAGCGCUUUGGCCUUCAGAUCAGUGUCACAGUACUCUGAAAACCAGAGCUCGUUCUCAUGUGCUGACAGGCCUUUCUCAGCCGAUGGCAAUUAACUAAAGUAGGGUGAGUUACAUGCACCGGGGUAGUAAUAGUUUGCAGAUGAGAUAAUGUCAUGAUAACAGACAAGGGCGAUUCCAGGUUUUUCAUUUUAGGGGGGCUCAGCCCCCAAUGAGGGUAAUAUAUAUAUAUUCAAAGGAAUACAAUUUUUUUUUUUUUUUCAUUUUUUAUUUUUUAUAUUUGUAGAUUUAUUUUUAAUUAUUUUUUUAAUUUAUUUUUUAAGGAGGUUUGAGUUGGAUAUAUUAA
ensembl:lncRNA